GACGAACGCUGGCGGCGUGCCUAACACAUGCAAGUCGAGCGAGAAUCUAUUAAUUGAUUCCUUCGGGAUGAUUUUGAUAGAGGAAAGCGGCGGACGGGUGAGUAACGCGUGAGUAACCAGCCUUAUGGAGGGGGACAACAGUGGGAAACGACUGCUAAUACCGCAUGAUAUGUUUUUACCGCAUGAUAGAAACAUCAAAGAUUUACCGCCAUAAGAUGGACUCGCGUCGGAUUAGAUAGUUGGUGAGGUAACGGAUCACCAAGUCGACGAUCAGUAGCCGAAGUGAGAGGUUGAUCGGCCACAUUGGGACUGAGACACGGCCCAGACUCCUACGGGGGGCAGCAGUGGGGGAUAUUGCACAAUGGGGGAAACCCUGAUGCAGCGACGCCGCGUGAGUGAAGAAGUAUUUCGGUAUGUAAAACUCUAUCAGCAGGGAAGAUAAUGACGGUACCUGACUAAGAAGCUCCGGCUAAAUACGUGCCAGCCGCCGCCGUAAAAC
rnacentral:rRNA from 1 species